UCAGUCGACUCCUACGGGGAGGCAGCAGUGGGGAAUUUGGACAAUGGGGGGCAACCCUGAUCCAGCAAUGCCGCGUGAGUGAAGAAGGACCUCGGGUUGUAAAGCUCUUUGUCAGGGAAGAAACGGUGAUCUCUAAUAUAGAUUGCUAAUGACGGUACCUGAAGAAUAAGCACCGGCUAACUACGUGCCAGCAGCCGCGGUAAUACGUAGGGUGCAAGCGUUAAUCGGAAUUACUGGGCGUAAAGCGUGCGCAGGCGGUUUUGUAAGUCUGAUGUGAAAUCCCCGGGGCUCAACCUGGGAACUGCAUUGGAGACUGCAAGGCUAGAGUGUGUCAGAGGGGGGUAGAAUUCCACGUGUAGCAGUGAAAUGCGUAGAGAUGUGGAGGAAUACCGAUGGCGAAGGCAGCCCCCUGGGAUAACACUGACGCUCAUGCACGAAAGCGUGGGGAGCAAACAGGAUUAGAUACCCUGGUAG
rnacentral:rRNA from 1 species